GAAUCUCAUGUAUUGCAGGUGUCGGUGACACAUUAGGUUUGAAUUACAAAUUGACAGAAACCAGCCGAGGAGCGAUCAUCUUACAGCACGAAGAGUACACAUACCGUAGAGACUAUUGCCACCACGACAGAAUUACUUGGCGAUGCAUCAAAAGGCAUAAGGGCUGCAAAGCUACCUGUGUUACUAAAGGAAGCUUGUUGUUUAAGACUAUGUAUACACAUAACCAUGCCGACAUCGGAGCCCGCUACGCCACUAUGAAUGGCCGGAGAGUGCUGAUGAUCGGCAACUAUCGGUUCAUGAGGCACUACGACGGAAGGAACGGCAGAACAAGAUGGCGGUGCUGCAAAUCCUUCAACAAGUGCAAAGCGAUCGUCAUCACUUACGGCGACGUCAUUAGAAAACUUAAAAAUUUGCACAAUCAUUAGAAUAAAAAUGUCCCUUUAAUCGUCUUAUCGGCCGAAUACUACAUACUAUAAUAUCUCUUAAGAAUAGAUUGUUGUGCCUAUACUCACGUAUUUAGUCGACGGAAGCCCGACUAGUUUAUACAUAUAUGAAAUAUAUACUAAUACUAAUAUAUAUGUUACUUAUGGUUUAUAUGUACCUACAUAAACUAUAAGUAAUACGUGACUAUAGCCGUUACAAUCUAUACUUAUAAUGAAAAUCACUCAUGAUCGUUUAAACGUUAAAAUCUCUUAAUACAUUAGUUUUUGUCGCAACUUCGUCCAAGUGGUGUUACUUUUCCAAAAAUCCCUUAGGUUACUAACUUAGUUUUCUCCUGGAUGGAAAGUAAAAAUCCUGUAUCAUUUUCCAGGAUGACUAUUUCUGUGCCUUUCUUUGAAAUCUUGAGUAUAGAUUUCGGUUUCAGAAUAUUAAAUAAAAAACGACAAAAUGCCAUUGUCUUUGCCAUUAUUUUGCUGCGUACAUUAUGAAAAAAAAAAUCUCAUACCUAGUACGAGGUACCUACUACCUACGCUGGUGUGUAAUUAAAAUUGAGACAUCUACCAAGACUGUUACUUAUAAAAGGUUUGAAACAACUUUUUUCUUUUUGAAACAAUUUCUACAUUUUUGUAAUUCUACUUUUACGGUUUUAAACGCUAAAAAUAUAAACGAUAUGUGUAAAAUAAAUGUUAAUUCAUUUCUCGGGAUCGAUUUUUCAAUUACCAAAUAUUUUUUAACUUACUGACUGACAGAGGAAUGACGCAUUGACAGUUUUUAUAAAGGAAAUCUAUCAAAAUAAUAAAGUCUUCUGAUUCUACUCGUAUUACUGAAGCCACGAAGUAGAAGUAUAAAUUCAUGGUUAAAGUUAACUUGGUGAUUGAAAAAUUAGCCCUUAAUUAAUCAUUAAUUUAUCGUUAUAGUUUUUUAAGUUAAACCAUGGUUUAUUACAUGGUUGAGCUAUGUGGCCAUUUUGCUUCUAUGUCUUAAGAUUAUAUACCUACUGUUAAGUUUGUAAAGGUUUUUAUUAUUUUCUCACCAUUAUUAACACUGCUUCCUUAACAAAAUGCAAUUUAGAUGUAUAAUUAAAAGAGGAGUCCAUGGAACAAAAGUAUACUUAAAUAAGUUAUUUAAACAUACAAAAUAAUAUUAUUAGUAUAUAGUUUAGUAGCUAAGAAAUAUAAAUUAAAUUGUAUUGAGUCAAAUGAGUAAAUAUUAUAUAAUACCCUGUAUUAAGAUUUAUUAAAAUUGGGUUACUAUGAUUAAUAUAAUAUUGAAAUGGAAAAUAUUUAGUUCUAUAAGCGAAGUAGUUCAUAAAAAGUAGUAUGAUUAAUUUUAUUAAUAGUGUUAACGUUAAUAUAAUUAGUUAGUUUGUUAAUAUCCAUUCACUUACCGUUAACUCUUCCUCUUUUAUUAAAAAAUUCAUAAUGUAUGA